CCUACGGGGCGCUGCAGUGAGGAAUAUUGGUCAAUGGGCGCUAGCCUGAACCAGCGAAGUAGCGUGAAGGAUGACUGCCCUAUGUGUUGUAAACUUCUUUUAUAUGGGAAUAAAGUGCAGUAUGUAUACUGCUUUGCAUGUACCUUAUGAAUAAGGAUCGGCUAACUCCGUGCCAGCAGCCGCGGUAAUACGGAGGAUCCGAGCGUUAUCCGGAUUUAUUGGGUGUAAAGGGAGCGUAGGCGGGUUGUUAAGUCAGAUGUGAAAGUUUGCGGCUCAACCGUAAAAUUGCAGUUGAUACUGGAAUGCUUGAGUAUAGUAGAGGCAGGCGGAAUUCGUGGUGUAGCGGUGAAAUGCGUAGAUAUCAGGAAGAACACCGAUUGCGAAGGCAGCCUGCUGGACUGUAACUGACGCUGAUGCUCGAAAGCGUGGGGAUCAAACAGGAUUAGAUACCCUGGUAGUC
rnacentral:rRNA from 1 species